rnacentral:lncRNA from 1 species
UUCUUCUUCUUCUUUUUCCUUCUUGAUCAAUGAGUUGAAGGUUGAUAAGUUAGCAUUGAUUAGGGAGACUUAAUCUUCCUUGAUUCAAAUCUAAUUCAUCUUGAUCAAUUGAUCAAGUGAAUGGCUUUGCAUUAAGGAUAAGUUGUUUCCUAUAUCAUGCAAAAGGCUUAAACCAAUAAAAGAUCAAUUCUCUUUUUCUUUUGGCAUGGCAAGUUGUUGGAACUUGGUUCACUAAUCAAGACUUCUAACUUGUGUUGUU